rnacentral:piRNA from 1 species
CACUGUGCUUGAUUAAUGGAUUUACCUG